AAUUCUGCCCCCUGAUUUUUAAGGGCCGCAGUAGCCUAACUGUGCUAAGGUAGCAUAAUCAUUUGGUUCUUAAUUAGGAUCUGGUAUGAAGGAAUAAAUAGAGUACUGCUGUCUCAAAAUUAGUAUUGAAUUUUAAUUUUUAGUAAAAAUGCUAGAAUUUAGAUGUGGGACGAUAAGACCCUAUAAAGCUUUACUUAAUUAUAGUUUAAGAUUUUUUCUAACUUAAUUUAUAAUUUAAGUUUUACUGGGGCGGUAGCUAUUAAACAUAGUUGGUUUAAUAAACAAGAUCCAAUAUUAUUGAAGUAAGAUUUAGUUACUUUAGGGAUAACAGGAUAAUAUAUUUUUGGAGUUCUAAUCGAAGAAUAUGUUUGUUACCUCGAUGUUGAAUUAAUUAAAUUAUAAGGUGAAGAAAUUUUAUAAAUUAGUCUGUUCGACUAUUAAAUAAUUACAUGAUUUGAGUUCAAACCGGUUUAAGCCAGGU
rnacentral:rRNA from 1 species